CCUACGGGAGGCAGCAGUGGGGAAUAUUGGACAAUGGGGGGAACCCUGAUCCAGCCAUGCCGCGUGUGUGAAGAAGGCCCUCGGGUUGUAAAGCACUUUCAGUGAGGAAGAACGCCUGGUGGUUAAUACCCAUCAGGAAAGACAUCACUCACAGAAGAAGCACCGGCUAACUCCGUGCCAGCAGCCGCGGUAAUACGGCGGGUGCGAGCGUUAAUCGGAAUUACUGGGCGUAAAGCGCGCGUAGGUGGCUUGAUAAGCCGGUUGUGAAAGCCCCGGGCUCAACCUGGGAACGGCAUCCGGAACUGUCAAGCUAGAGUGCAGGAGAGGAAGGUAGAAUUCCCGGUGUAGCGGUGAAAUGCGUAGAGAUCGGGAGGAAUACCAGUGGCGAAGGCGGCCUUCUGGACUGACACUGACACUGAGGUGCGAAAGCGUGGGUAGCAAACAGGAUUAGAUACCCCUGUAGUC
rnacentral:rRNA from 1 species